rnacentral:rRNA from 1 species
AAGGCCAGGCUGAAGACUUUGCCGGAUUAGCUGAGAGGUGGUGCAUGGCCGUCGUCAGUUCGUACUGUGAAGCAUCCUGUUAAGUCAGGCAACGAGCGAGACCCACGCCCACAGUUGCCAGCGUACUCUCUGGAGUGACGGGUACACUGUGGGGACCGCCGCUGCUAAAGCGGAGGAAGGAAUGGGCAACGGAGGUUUUUUUCAGUAUGCCCCGAAUAUCCCGGGCUACACGCGAGCUACAAUGGUUGGUACAAUGGGUAUCUACCCGAAAGGGGACGGGAAUCUCCUAAAACCAAUCUUAGUUCGGAUUGAGGGCUGCAACUCGCCCUCAUGAAGCUGGAAUCCGUAGUAAUCGCGUUUCAACAGGACGCGGUGAAUACGUCCCUGCUCCUU